rnacentral:rRNA from 1 species
GACAGAGGUGCCGAGCGUUAGGCGGAAUCACUGGGCUUAAAGCGUGUGUAGGCGGGUCCGUAAGUACCUUGUGAAAUCCCACGGCUCAACCGUGGAACUGCUUGGUAUACUGCGGGUCUUGAGCCACUUAGGGGCAAGCGGAACAAACGGUGGAGCGGUGAAAUGCGUAGAUAUCGUUUGGAACGCCAAUGGUGAAAACAGCUUGCUGGGAGUGUGCUGACGCUGAGACACGAAAGCCAGGGGAGCAAACGGGG